AACGCAUCUUGCGCUCCUUGGUAUUCCUUGGAGCAUGCCUGUUUGAGUGUCAUGAAUAUAUCAAUCAACAAGAAAGACUUUUUGUUUCUCUUGUUGAUUGGACUUGGAGGUUUUUGCUGGUCACACUAGCUCCUCUCAAAUACAUCAGCUGGAACCUGAAUGUGUAUCUCUGGUGUGAUAAAUAUCUACUCCAUCUGAUCACAGAUAAAGGAUCUGCUCAUAGUCGUCCAAAUGGACAAUAUUUGACAUCUGACCUCAAAUCAGGUAGGACUACCCGCUGAACUUAA
rnacentral:misc_RNA from 1 species